GGUUAAGCUAAUAAGAGCGUAGGGAGAAUGCCUUGGCAUUAGGAGCCGAUGAAGGACGUGAUAAGCUGCGAUAAGCUGCGGGGAAGAGCAAGUAUCUAAUGAUCCGCAGAUUUCCGAAUGGAGCAAUCCGCAUGAGUAUGCUCAUGCACUGUACAGUGAAUAAAAUAGCUGUAUGGGGGGAACCGCCUGAACUGAAACAUCUAAGUAGGGCGAGGAAGAGAAAUCAACCGAGAUUCUGUGAGUAGUGGCGAGCGAAAGCGGAAGAGGCUAAACCGAGAGUAGCAAUACUUUCGGGGUUUUGGACAGCAUUUAGUAUUGAAAGGAUUUAGUUGAAUCGUGUGGGAAAACGAACCGAAGAGUGUGAGAGUCACGUAAGCGAAAAGUCUGAUCAGCGAGCUGUAUCCGGAGUACCGCGGGACACGUGAAACCCCGUGGGAAGAUGGGGGGACCAUCCUCCAAGCCUAAAUACUACCUAAUGACCGAUAGCGAAUAGUACUGUGAAGGAACGGUGAAAAGAACCCCGGGAGGGGAGUGAAAUAGAACCUGAAACCCUAUGCUUACAAGCACCGAGAGCUCGUCAAUGAGUGAUCGGGUACCUUUUGUAGAAUGGUCCGGCGAGUUAUUGUAUGCGGCAAGGUUAAGUGCUUAAGGCACGGAGCCGAAGACGAGAGCGAGUCUGAAUAGGGCGGCAAAGUCGUAUGCAAUAGACCCGAAACCGAGUGACCUAACCAUGUCCAGGCUGAAGUGGAGGUAAAACUCCAUGGAGGGCCGAACCCACGUCCGUUGAAAAGGCCGGGGAUGAGGUGUGGUUAGCGGUGAAAUUCCAAUCGAACUCGGAUAUAGCUGGUUCUCUCCGAAAUAGCUUUAGGGCUAGCCUCAUGACAGAUUACCGGAGGUAAAGCACUGAAUGGGCUAGGGGUCGAAAGAUUACUGAACCUUAUCAAACUAAGAAUGCCGGAUAAUCGAUUCAUGGGAGUCAGACUGUGUGAGAUAAGUCUCACAGUCAAAAGGGAAACAGCCCAGACCCACAGCUAAGGUCCCAAAGUAUGUUUAAGUGGAAAAGGAUGUGGGGUUGCAUAAACAACCAGGAUGUUGGCUUAGAAGCAGCCACUCAUUAAAAGAGUGCGUAAUAGCUCACUGGUCGAGUGACCCUGCGCCGAAAAUUCAACGGGGCUAAAACAUACACCGAAGCUUGGGAUUCAUACAAUAGUAUGAGUGGUAGGAGAGCGUCGAAUAAGGGGUGAAGUCAGAGCGUAAGCGCUGGUGGACUUUAUUCGAGUGAGAAUGCCGGAAUGAGUAGCGAGAAUUAUGUGAGAAUCAUAAUGGCCGAAAAUCUAAGGUUUCCUGAGGAAGGUUCGUCCGCUCAGGGUAAGCCGGGGGCUAAGGUCAGGCCGAAAGGCGUAGCCGAUGCACAUACGGUUGAAAUUCCGUAGCCACCGAAAGAUUUAAGUAUAGGGACGCUUCGAAAGUGAUGUAGCCGGGCGAUGGUUGACCCGGUCGUAAGGGAUCGAAAAUAAGUAGAGAAGGCAUCAUAGACGGAGACAAGAAAAGCUAUAUGAAUAUCUUAGGUGCCCGUACCGCAAACCGACACAGGUAGAUAGGAAGAAGAUUCUAAGGCCAACGGGAGAAGGGUUGUUAAGGAACUCGGCAAGUUGACCCCGUAACUUAGGGAUAAGGGGUGCUUGAGUGAUCAAGCCGCAGAGAAUAGGCCCAGGCGACUGUUUAGCAAAAACACAGGUCUCUGCUAAAUCGAAAGAUGACGUAUAGGGGCUGACACCUGCCCGGUGCCGGAAGGUUAAGAGGAGAUGUGAGAGCAUCGAAUUGAAGCCCCGGUAAACGGCGGCCGUAACUAUAACGGUCCUAAGGUAGCGAAAUUCCUUGUCAGGUAAGUUCUGACCCGCACGAAUGGUGUAACGAUCUGGGCACUGUCUCAACAACCCGCCCGGCGAAAUUGUAGUACCGGUGAAGAUGCCGGUUACCCGCGACUAGACGGAAAGACCCCAUGGAGCUUUACUGUAGCCUAAUAUUGGAUUUCGGUAUUUCAUGUACAGGAUAGGUGGGAGACUGGGAAGCAUUGGCGUCAGCUGAUGUGGAGUCACUGUUGGGAUACCACUCUUGAAGUGCUGGAGUUCUAACCUGCGGCUUUGAAUCAAGUCGGGGGACAUUGUUAGGUGGGCAGUUUGACUGGGGCGGUCGCCUCCUAAAGAGUAACGGAGGCGCUCAAAGGUUCGCUCUGCAUGGAUGGAAACCAUGCGUCAGAGUGUAAACGCAAAAGCGAGCCUAACUGCGAGAAUGACGGUUCGAGCAGUAACGAAAGUUGGAGUUAGUGAUCCGGCGGUAUGUGAAUGGAAAUGCCGUCGCUCAACGGAUAAAAGCUACCCUGGGGAUAACAGGCUGAUCUCCCCCAAGAGUCCACAUCGACGGGGAGGUUUGGCACCUCGAUGUCGGCUCAUCGCAUCCUGGGGCUGAAUUCGGUCCCAAGGGUUUGGCUGUUCGCCAAUUAAAGCGGUACGCGAGCUGGGUUCAGAACGUCGUGAGACAGUUCGGUCCCUAUCUGUCGUGGGCGUAAGAUAUUUGCAAGGAGCUGUCCCUAGUACGAGAGGACCGGGAUGGACGCACCUCUGGUGCACCAGUUGUCACGCCAGUGGCACAGCUGGGCAGCUAUGUGCGGAACGGAUAAACGCUGAAGGCAUCUAAGCGUGAAGCCGCCCUUAAGAUAAGAUAUCUCAUCCUUUAUGGAGUAAGACCCCUUGAAGACUACAAGGUUGAUAGGCACAAAGUGUAAGUACAGUGAUGUAUUUAGCUAGCGUGUACUAAUUGGUCGAGGGCUUGUCCUA
rfam:Ruminococcus albus 7, complete genome.